rnacentral:rRNA from 1 species
AUUGAACGCUGGCGGCAUGCCUUACACAUGCAAGUCGAACGGUAACAGGUUAAGCUGACGAGUGGCGACCGGGUGAGUAAUGUAUCGGAACGUGCCCAGUCGUGGGGGAUAACUGCUCGAAAGAGCAGCUAAUACCGCAUACGACCUGAGGGUGAAAGCGGGGGAUCGCAAGACCUCGCGCGAUUGGAGCGGCCGAUAUCAGAUUAGGUAGUUGGGGAGGUAAAGGCUCACCAAGCCGACGAUCUGUAGCUGGUCUGAGAGGACGACCAGCCACACUGGGACUGAGACACGGCCCAGACUCCUACGGGAGGCAGCAGUGGGGAAUUUUGGACAAUGGGCGCAAGCCUGAUCCAGCCAUGCCGCGUGCGGGAAGAAGGCCUUCGGGUUGUAAACCGCUUUUGUCAGGGAAGAAAAGGUUCUGGCUAAUACCUGGGACUCAUGACGGUACCUGAAGAAUAAGCACCGGCUAACUACGUG